GCUUUUAUUAUCAAAUCGCAAUUUUUUUCAUCACACAACGGCAUCAACAAUGAAGCAUGAGAAAUGAUUAUGUUGUCAACACUGUUAGAAAAAUCAGUAUCCUAAUUUCUCAACAUCCUCUUCGCAAUGUGUUCUAUUCUUAUUUUGAUAUGCAGCAUAAUUAUUUAGUUAGAGUACAUAUGGGGAGAUCACCAUACUUGGUUAUGUCUCCAAAAAAGCCACAGUAUAAUAUUUUCAGCCACUCAGUCUGUUGAUUACCUCUGGCUGAGGGGAUUCUCGACUGGAAAUCAUGUGAUUCAAACAGGAAAUGCAUUAGUAACUUUAUAAACUGCGAAACCAAAGAUGUGGAAACAAAUAUGUUGAUGGUGUGAAAAGAUAUUGCCAUGUACUGUAUUUUUGAAGAAGAAAAAAAUUGUACAACAUUAACAUGUGAUUGCAAAAGCUCAAAAAUAAAUAAUAUUUGUUAAAAAAAUUGAAUAUACUCUUAUUUGUUGUUUGUCUAUGAGGACUAGCACCAUGGCAUCCACAUAUUUACUGUAUGUACAUACAUUUGUGAUCAUAUCUAAGAUAGUACAUUAUACCUUUAUACAGCACACAGUACCUACACAUAAUAUAUAUAGAUGGAUUCAUUUAGGGAGAUGGACUACAUGCUUUAAAGAACUGACUUAAGGCAUUGGAAAUGAGUAAGUAGCCUACGAUAGCUGAUUAAUUCCUGUUAUGCAAUUAUUACAAACCCCUCAGUAAUUCUUUAAACAGUAUUGAAUGUUAGAGAAUAAUUCAAGAAUGAUGUAUUCACACAGCAAAAACAGUAAACAUUUUGUGACAUGUCACACAUCUGAAAGCAAGAAGUGACCGCAACACAACCAAGUGUAAAAUCAGUUUGGAAAGAAAGAAAUGUGGGCAAGAAAAACCGAAGUAAUGUCUCCACUUCCUGGAAACAGACACUAUGUACUGACACGCAUCAACAUGCAACACACAGCUGUAACUGUAAUUAAGAGAACAUUAUUCAACAUGUCUGUCAUCUGUGUCAACUCUGGGCCUCUCAGGGGUUGAUUCCCAAUAAUCUCUCCUUUCCCCUGAAGCGUGCACUUGUUCACUACUCUCCACAUAUAUGUCAAAGCAUUGGAUUGGUGUAGGAUUGGUUUCGGCAUCCUUUUCAAAUCCUUGACUACAAGUGAACACUUCAAGAGAACGGAGAGAUUUGAGCGAAGCACCAGUGAUUCAACUCAGACUCCCAGUGAUUCAACUCUCAGGCUCCUUCUAUUCUACCAUAUUCUAUCUAGACAGUACCUUGCUCACUGUCCUUUCCGUACACUGGCAUACAUACAAUACUCCUCCUCAGGCAUGUCUACCUUCCUCCUGGGACCCUCUAAUAUUGUAAUCUGUCCAUACUCCACGUCCACCGGCUGUUGGGGACCACACGCUUCGUCCACGUGCCCAUAUUCCACCUCCACCGGCGCCUCCCUCUCCUUCUGUCUCAUUUCCUGCCUCAGUAUCCUGACAUCAGCGUAUUCCACAUCCUGGCUGUCACCCUUAACUGUGGAGAGAGGGAGAGAGACAGAAAGAGAGACAGAAAGAGAGAGAGACAGAAAGAGACAGAGAGAGAGAGCCAGAAAGAGAGAGCGAGAGAGCCAGAAAGAGAGAGCGAGAGAGCCAG
ensembl:lncRNA